rnacentral:antisense_RNA from 1 species
CUUCAGGGAGCCGAGCAGCAGCGGGCGGUCUGCGGGACGGCCCCGGCCGUACGUGGCGAGCAGGGCCUGCGCCUC